UACGAAGGGGGCUAGCGUUGUUCGGAAUCACUGGGCGUAAAGCGCACGUAGGCGGAUUUUUAAGUCAGGGGUGAAAUCCCGAGGCUCAACCUCGGAACUGCCUUUGAUACUGGAGAUCUUGAGUCCGGAAGAGGUAAGUGGAACUGCGAGUGUAGAGGUGAAAUUCGUAGAUAUUCGCAAGAACACCAGUGGCGAAGGCGGCUCACUGGACCGGUUCUGACGCUGAUGCGCGAAAGCGUGGGGAGCAAACGGG
rnacentral:rRNA from 1 species